rnacentral:lncRNA from 10 species
GUUAUUCAACUAUUAAUCUAUUACUUUCUUAAAAACAAUAAUACCCCACUUUUCCAUAAGCAAGUGUCUAGGCAAAUGUUUAGCAACUGAGGAAACAAAAGGUCUUUUUAUGGUUGAAACAGCCAUCACAAAACCCUACCUCUUCCCUGCACAGGAAAGCCUUUAGGGACAAGAAACUCUAUCAAAUUUUAUUUUAUAUACAAUUUCGAUAAGCUAGGUAAUGUUUCUUAGCAAACAACAGAUUAAAACAAGAAAAUUAAGGCCAGCUGCAGUGGCUCACGCCUGUAAUCCCAGCCCUUUGGGAGGCCGAGAUGGGAGGAUCACGAGGUUGGGAGAUCGAGACCAUCCUGGCUAACACGGUGGAACGCUGUCUCUACUAAAAAUACAAAAAGUUAGCCAGGCGUGGUGGCAUGCCCCUGUAGCCCAGUUUAAGCAAGAAAAACAUGAGAAGAAUCUCAGGCAAUUCUGUCUACCUCCCACUGCAAACAUUUUCCCCUCGACUGCCUUCCUAUCACUUCACUUAGUCAUCUUACUGACAAUCUUAACAAUUUUUUUUUUUUUUGAGACGGAGUCUCGCUCUGUCGCCCAAGCUGGAGUGCAGUGAUGCCAUCUUGGCUCACUGCAACCUUCGCCUCCCAGGUUCAAGCAAUUCUUAUGCCUCAGUAGCUUGAAUUACAGGAGCGAGCCACAAUGCCCAGCUAAUUUUUGUAUCUUUAGUAAAGACGAGGUUUCACCAUGUUGGCCAGGCUGCCGUUGAACUCCUGGCCUCAAGUGAUCUGCCGACUCGGCCUCCCAAAGUGCUAGGAUUACAGGCAUGAGCCACCGCACCUGGGCAAUUUUUACAAUUAAAGAUGUACUGUGUUAAUCAGCAGUUUCAUCUGUCAAAUUCAACGAAGUAUAGGCUGCCUGCCUCUCACCACCAAUUAAGAGUAUAAUUUUCUAAUUCAGUCUUUUCCUUCUGAG